UNUGACUUGAGUGCAGAAGGGGAGAGUGGAAUUCCAUGUGUAGCGGUGAAAUGCGUAGAUAUAUGGAGGAACACCAGUGGCGAAAGUGGCUCUCUGGUCUGUCACUGACGCUGAGGCUCGAAAGCGUGGGUAGCGAACAGGAUUAGAUACCCUGGUAGUNCACGCCGUAAACGAUGAGUGCUAGGUGUUAGGCCCUUUCCGGGGCUUAGUGCCGGAGCUAACGCAAUAAGCACUCCGCCUGGGGAGUACGACCGCAAGGUUGAAACUCAAAGGAAUUGACGGGGGCCCGCACAAGCGGUGGAGCAUGUGGUUUAAUUCGAAGCAACGCGAAGAACCUUACCAGGUCUUGACAUCCCGAUGCUAUUCUUAGAGAUAGGAAGUUACUUCGGUACAUCGGAGACAGGUGGUGCAUGGUUGUCGUCAGCUCGUGUCGUGAGAUGUUGGGUUAAGUCCCGCAACGAGCGCAACCCUUAUUGUUAGUUGCCAUCAUUAAGUUGGGCACUCUAGCGAGACUGCCGGUAAUAAACUGGAGGAAGGUGGGGAUGACGUCAAAUCAUCAUGCCCCUUAUGACCUGGGCUACACACGUGCUACAAUGGUCGGUACAACGAGUUGCGAGCCGGUGACGGCAAGCUAAUCUCUGAAAGCCGAUCUCAGUUCGGAUUGGAGGCUGCAACUCGCCUCCAUGAAGUCGGAAUCGCUAGUAAUCGCGGAUCAGCACGCCGCGGUGAAUACGUUCCCGGGCCUUGUACACACCGCCCGUCACACCACGAGAGUUUGUAACACCCGAAGUCGGUGAGGUAACCUUUUAGGGGC
rnacentral:rRNA from 1 species